rnacentral:rRNA from 1 species
UAGGGAAUCUUCGGCAAUGGACGAAAGUCUGACCGAGCAACGCCGCGUGAGUGAAGAAGGUUUUCGGAUCGUAAAACUCUGUUGUUAGAGAAGAACAAGGACGUUAGUAACUGAACGUCCCCUGACGGUAUCUAACCAGAAAGCCACGGCUAACUACGUGCCAGCAGCCGCGGUAAUACGUAGGUGGCAAGCGUUGUCCGGAUUUAUUGGGCGUAAAGCGAGCGCAGGCGGUUUCUUAAGUCUGCUGUGAAAGCCCCCGGCUCAACCGGGGAGGGUCAUUGGAAACUGUGAGACUUGAGUGCAGAAGAGGGGAGUGGAAUUCCAUGUGUAGCGGUGAAAUGCGUAGAUAUAUGGAGGAACACCAGUGGCGAAGGCGGCUCUCUGGUCUGUAACUGACGCUGAGGCUCGAAAGCGUGGGGAGCAAACAGG